AGGAAGGAACCAGGCCUAGGGACCGGGGGCUCCCUCCCAGAGCAGGUGGAGGCUCAGGACCACCUGCCGCCCCCUCUGCCGGCACGUUGCAUGGGAGUCCAGGCAUUCUUUGCAACCCCACCUGACCACCUUGCUAAAAGAAAACAGAAGCGUGGAGGCUGCCACCUAUUUGCAAGAAAUAAACCCGUAAACAAUUGCAUCUCUUUUUUAGAAAGAGGUUUGGGGCAGGGAAAGGGGAGAAGGGACCCGAAGCCGAGAGCUGAGUUUCCAGAAAAUCCUGCAGGAGAAGAAGAUGCAUCUGCCCAGAGGAGGGAAGUGGAAUCGCACUCAGGAAAGUGUGUGGGGUCCCAGGAUGACACCAGCACCCAGCGCAGCUCUGUCCGGCAACCUCUCCCAAGGUCGGAGGAGUGAGUGUCCCCUGUGUGUGGAUGAGCAGCUCCUGCUGAGCCCGCAGCACCUCGGGGAGCCUGACAGCGGGGUUGUGUGCCUCACACUUCUCUGCUUGUGGACCUGGCGAGUCUGGGAGCAGAAAGAGCCACAGGAAGGUUUUCUGUCUGCGUCUGUGUGUGGUGUGGAUUUAGUUGUGCUCUUUUCUUGCUGGGAGGGCACAGCCACCGUUUGUAAGAAGAGUCGCCCUGGUGGGUGGGGAAGACAGAACAGGAGCCUCUCUGCCCUCUGUACCUUUCUGGGCCCGGUGGGCUCCCCUGUCCUGGCUUCCAUCUCUGUCUGUCUCCGUGACCCUCCAGCCCUGCAAGGGAACACACGUGGCUUAGAAAAGCCACAUCCAGCCCUGGCCUCUGUCUCCUCUGAUCUCAUGACGUGCAUCUGCCGCCUUGAAACUGGAAAGCGAUCUAUCGAUGUCUGUGCCAAUUUUCGUUUCCCCCCACAACCUGCGUCCCCGUGCGACUUUUAUUUAUGUAUGAUGUGUGCUGUCUAAUGAUGGGAUGACCACACUUUCCAUGUUCUAAAAGGGAUCCUCCCCCACUGGGUUCCAGGAGUGAUGAUGGCUUUAGGACUUGAGGUGUGUCACUUACCUGCCUCCUGGCUCAAAAGCCUGUGCAGAAGCAAAGCUGGUGCGGGGCUGGGAAAUGCAGCGUUCUCCAGGACGGGACCCAGCUCUCCCCCUGCAACGCAGGCAAAGGCCUGGACGCCAGUGUGACCUCCCACAAGGCAUGGCUGCCAGACUCCCUGACCAGAAGUGAUGCUUUUUUGCAUCAGGCCCUGGGUUUGAAGCAGCCUCGCUUUCUCUCUGUAAGUGGCUGGUGUCUUAGCAGCAAUGUGAGCUCGGCCACCUACACAGCACCGUGGGGGAAAGAACUGCUGACACUUUCAUUAAAGUUCUCUGACACGAUG